UACGUAGGGGGCAAGCGUUGUCCGGAAUCAUUGGGCGUAAAGAGCGUGUAGGCGGCCCGGUAAGUCCGCCGUGGAAGUCCAGGGCUCAACCCUGGAAUGCCGGUGGAAACUGCCGGGCUGGAGUCCGGAAGAGGCGAGUGGAAUUCCUGGUGUAGCGGUGAAAUGCGCAGAUAUCAGGAGGAACACCAAUGGCGAAGGCAGCUCGCUGGGACGGUACUGACGCUGAGACGCGAAAGCGUGGGGAGCAAACAGG
rnacentral:rRNA from 1 species